rnacentral:piRNA from 1 species
UAAAAGUACGAAGGUGAUUUAGCAACUCUC